rnacentral:rRNA from 1 species
GUUUGGCACCUCGAUGUCGGCUCAUCGCAUCCUGGGGCUGAAGGCGGUCCCAAGGGUUAGGCUGUUCGCCUAUUAAAGCGGUACGCGAGCUGGGUUCAGACCGGCGUGAGCCAGGUCGGUCCCUAUCUGUCGUGGGCGCUGCACAUUUGAGAGGAGUCUUCCUUAGUACGAGAGGAUUAGGAAGGACGAACCCCUGGUGAUCCAGCUGUCGCGCUAGCGGCACCGCUGGGUAGCUAAGUUCGGCAGGGAUAACCGCUGAAAGCAUCUAAGCGGGAAGCCCCCCUCAAGAUGAGAUGUGCUUG